rfam:Gossypium raimondii Chr07_contig_150, whole genome shotgun sequence.
UAUUGAAAUUUUUAUCUAUUUUUAUUGUUAAAAAUUAGCGUAGUUAAUAAAAUAAUAAGAUAGUUCCACGUGAUGUGUUAUAUUUAUCUUAUGCUGACAUAUAAAUACUAAUUUUUAACCGUAAAAAUAGAUAAAAUUUUUAAUA